rnacentral:rRNA from 1 species
GAUGAACGCUGGCGGCGUGCCUAAUACAUGCAAGUCGAACGCGCGGAUCAGGAGCUUGCUCCUGUGACGCGAGUGGCGGACGGGUGAGUAACACGUAGGCAACCUGCCCAUCAGACUGGGAUAACCACGGGAAACCGUGGCUAAUACCGGAUAAUCCUUUCCCACACAAGUGGGAAAGUUGAAAGGCGGUCUUUUGGCUGUCACUGAUGGAUGGGCCUGCGGCGCAUUAGCUGGUUGGUGGGGUAAUGGCCCACCAAGGCGACGAUGCGUAGCCGACCUGGGAGGGUGAUCGGCCACACUGGGACUGAGACACGGCCCAG